AAGACCUUACGCUUUUGGAGCGGCCGAMGUCUGAUUAGCUUGUUGGUGAGGUAAAGGCUUACCAAGGCUUCGAUCAGUAGCUGGUCUGAGAGGACGACCAGCCACACUGGGACUGAGACACGGCCCAGACUCCUACGGGAGGCAGCAGUGGGGAAUUUUGGACAAUGGGCGCAAGCCUGAUCCAGCCAUGCCGCGUGAGUGAAGAAGGCCUUCGGGUUGUAAAGCUCUUUCAGCCGGGAAGAAAAGGUUGCGAUUAAUAAUCGCAAUUUAUGACGGUACCGGAAGAAGAAGCACCGGCUAACUACGUGCCGGCAGCCGCGGUAAUACGUAGGGUGCGAGCGUUAAUCGGAAUUACUGGGCGUAAAGGGUGCGCAGGCGGUUUUGUAAGUCAGAUGUGAAAUCCCCGGGCUUAACCUGGGAACU
rnacentral:rRNA from 1 species